rnacentral:rRNA from 1 species
AGACGACGCUGGCGGCGUGCCUAACACAUGCAAGUCGAGCGGAGAUAGACUGAUGGUAACUGAAGUUUGUCUUAGCGGCGGACGGGUGAGUAACACGUGGGCAACCUGCCUUGGAGUGGGGGAUAACACCGGGAAAUCGGUGCUAAUACCGCAUAACAUACACAAACUGCAUGGUAAGUGUAUCAAAGGAGCAAUCCGCUUUAAGAUGGGCCCGCGGCUGAUUAGCUAGUUGGUAAGGUAACGGCUUACCAAGGCGACGAUCAGUAGCCGACCUGAGAGGGUGACCGGCCACACUGGAACUGAGACACGGUCCAGACUCCUACGGGAGGCAGCAGUGGGGAAUAUUGCGCAAUGGGGGAAACCCUGACGCAGCAACGCCGCGUGGAGGAAGAAGGUCUUCGGAUUGUAAACUCCUGUCUUCUGGGACGAAGUAUGACGGUACCAGAGGAGGAAGCCACGGCUAACUACGUG